UAGUUCGUGGAUUAAUUUGUCUGGUUAAUUCCGUUAACGAACGAGACCUUAACUUGCUAAUUGGAGUAUAGUAAUAUAUAUUAUGCUCUGUUAGAAGGACCAUGUGUCUCUAACACAAGGAAGCGUGAGGCAAUAACAGGU
rnacentral:rRNA from 1 species